rnacentral:rRNA from 1 species
CCCCUAGUAACUGCGAGUGAAGAGGGAAAAGCUCAAAUUUUGAAUCUGGCGGUCCUCGUGGCCGUCCGAGUUGUAAUCUAGAGAAGCGUCUUCCGCGCUGGACCGUGUACAAGUCUCCUGGAAGGGAGCGUCAUAGAGGGUGAGAAUCCCGUCUUUGACACGGACUGCCAGUGCUAUGUGAUGCGCUCUCGAAGAGUCGAGUUGUUUGGGAAUGCAGCUCAAAAUGGGUGGUAAAUUCCAUCUAAAGCUAAAUACAGGCGAGAGACCGAUAGCGAACAAGUACCGUGAGGGAAAGAUGAAAAGAACUUUGGAAAGAGAGUUAAACAGUACGUGAAAUUGCUGAAAGGGAAACGCUUGAUGUCAGUCGCGUCCGCCAGGGAUCAACCUUGCUUCUUCGCUGGGUGCAUUUCUUGGUCGGACGGGUCAGCAUCGGUUUCGAUCGAGGUAGAAUGGUCGAGGGAACGUGGCACCUCUAGGGGUGUGUUAUAGCCCUGGGUCGCAUGCGUCGGUAGGGACCGAGGAACUCGGCACGACCUUCACGGGUCGGUGUCUAGGAUGCUGGCAUAAUGGCCUUAAGCGACCCGUCUUGAAACACGGACCAAGGAGUCUAACAUGCCUGCGAGUGUUCGGGUGGAAAACUCGAGCGCGCAACGAAAGUGAAAGUCGAGAUCUCUGUCGUGGAGAGCAUCGACGCCCGGACCAGAGUCUUUGACGAAGGAUCUGCGGUAGAGCAUGCAUGUUGGGACCCGAAAGAUGGUGAACUAUGCCUGAAUAGGGUGAAGCCAGAGGAAACUCUGGUGGAGGCUCGUAGCGAUUCUGACGUGCAAAUCGAUCG